GUAUUUCCCCUUCACAAUUUUCACAGACUGAGUCAUAGACUGCGGCGGAGGUCUCUGAGAGCGAUAGAGGGAGAAGGUGUGUGUGUGUGCUCGUGCUAGAGAGGGAGGGUAAACUUAGCGGAAGUGUAAAAAGCUUGACUCACAGGCCUACGAUAUAUUACUACCACCUCUGAUCACUGAACUGUUUUUGGUGUUUGAAAAAAAAAAAAAAGGAAAGAAAAAACUCACACAUACAUACACACACUUUGAAAGAAAUACAAGAUUGAUAAAAAAAAAAAAAGAUCAUUAAAAAUUGAAAAUUCGAUCUUCGAUCUUCAAGAACCAAUAUAUAUAUAAACGCAUGAAAAGAUAUCGCACAAUUCACGGUUCACACCUCUGCACUGGACAUUGAACAACGCAUUAAUGAAAGAAAUCGAAAACAAUAGACUUCGUAGAAAGACAGUUCGAAAAGCAAUACUUUUCCUUUUUAACAAUUAUUUGAAAAAUCCAUCCUAAACAAAUCAGAUAUAUCUAUAUUUUUUUCCCAUUCCCGGUUUGUUUCAAAGUAAAAAUUACUUGAAAUCUUUUCGCUAACGAUUGAAAUAUUAAGUUGAAAGAUAAUACAAUGUACAAUUCGAGAGAAAAGGAAGCCGGUAGUAGUAGCAAUACACCUAGUGUGUCUACUAGCGUUACAACGACCAACAUUACCAAUUAUACCAACAGUCAUCACCAGGAUUCUAAAUACGUGGCUGACAUCCUGUCAUCUAUGGCAAACGGAGACCCUGUUUCCCAGAAUCAAUACUCUAUACCUGGAUUUGUUUGCGGAGUUACAACGGCAACGACACCAACGUUAACACCAACAACUUUUGUCAACUUGGAACAAGCCUUCAUCGAACUUCAAUCGGUUCCAGUAAGUUCAGCAAAUCAAGAUCCACUCACACAAAGUGGAUUUGUACCACCCAUAGUAGAGCCUGUUGGAGUUAGUUCAAAUGAGCACAUUUCAUCUAACUCCGCGGGCACCGCAAAUUCUGGUGCGUCCAUGGAUCGUUACCAAUACGACUCUGAUGAUGCCGAAUGGGAGACUAAAAGACCACGUUCGUCCACUGGUAGCAGUGCAUCUUCCAAGGGAUCCCCUACAUACAGUUCUUCCUCAAGACAAGAUAAAAAAGAUGACCUUGGGCAAUCCUACUUUAACAGUAGAUUAUGUCCAGAAGAAGAAGAACGUCGACGAAUUCGUAGAGAAAGGAACAAGAUAGCUGCAGCAAAAUGUCGUCAACGAAGAGUUGACCACACCAAUCGCCUUAUUCAGGAAACUGUAAAGCUCGAAGAGGAACGCAGCCAUCUUGAAGAUGAAAUUCAAACUUUGAAACAGCAGAAAGAUCGUCUGGAAUUUAUUCUCCAAGCCCAUCGGCCUGACUGCAAAGCUGAUGGAAAAAUAAACCAGUCUUCUAACCUGCAUACCAUCAAGAUCAAGACAGAGAUUGAUUCUCAUCAAAAUUCCUGUUCUCAUAAAAAUGAUGCUCGAUUACGCAUGACGGAGCCAAAUCAGACACUUCCAUUGACUGUUGUUAAACAAGAAAAGGGUGUCCAUCUGGGAAAUAAUGGACAAGGAGGUUCUGGUGCUAACCCAGAUGGAAGUAUCAACAUCAGCAAUGUGCAUGGCAAUGCAUAUUACGGUUUCACAGAUUUGGAUAAUAUUGUUGAUGCAAAUCAAGCUCUACCUCCUGUAAGUGGGCAGUCAUGUGCUAGUCAAGUUCACAAGAAUUCGGCCGAAAGUAGUUCAGAUCAAGUUGGUUCUCCAACACUCAUAUCACUGUAAAGUGGAGCUAAGAAUUUGAGUAACUCUUUCUCCAUUCUAAAUAAAUAUAUAUAUAUAUAUAUAUACACAUAUAUAUAUACACACACACACAUAUAUACAUAUAUGUAUGGAUCAUAUGUUACAAACUGUGUUAAACAGUUUGUAUAUUUAAAAAAAAAAGCAUAAUUUACAUCAUUCCAUGAAUUCUACAAUGUAAAAUAUUCCUGUUUACUUUUUGAAUAAUUAUGCUUUUUCUUAGCAUAAUUGCUUCCUUAUUGCACUAAUGUUUUAUUGGUGUUGGGUUGUUUUAUAAGCCAACCGUAAUGAGGAAUGAAAUUGUCCUUAUUUUAGUUGCAUUCAAUGAGGAAUUUUUUUACAUCUCAAGUGCCAGUUAUUUAUUUUUUUAAUGAAAUGAAAGGCUAACAUGCUUUUAAAUGUUCUAAUUUUAAUCAAAUGCUGUGAAGUUUUUUUAUCUGCUCUUUUGAAACAUUAAUCUUUGGAGUAAAUUUUUAUUGGUGGGUUCUAACUUUUUCUUACCCACAAUUCCUUUUUGUAAACUUUUUUACACUAAAAUAAAAAAAAACAUACCUUUUCAUCUCUUCCACCAAUUUUUGUAUUCAUAGAAAGAGUUACUACAAUUCUGUUCACACAUAAGCAUUCUGCCUUUUUUAAUUUGCUAUGAAAGAUUUACGCUUAUUGUACCUGGAGCUUUUUUUCCAGCAAUAGGAGAAAAGAUAUUGGUGAGCUUAAUCUACCAUCCAGACAAUGUUUGUCAAAAAAAAGAUGAAAAAAAAAACAACUACGAUUAAAAAAGAAAAUAACUCUUCAUAUCUUUUUUAAUAUAUAUUUUCUUUUAAUUCAGGUUUUAAGAAAAUCAAAUAAGUAAUUUAUCCUUUCUGUCCAUCCAAAACUCUUCUCUGAGAGUUUUGAGCUAGAAACAUUGCCUUAUGCCAAAAUUAUUCUUCUAAUGUAAAAUCCAGUCCUUUAUUUAUACGUCAGGGCACAUGAGUGUAUGAUGGAUAUUCUGUUUCGUCUUUGUUUAUUAUAAAAUGCAAUAUUAUGCCACCAUGUGUAUGCCAACUCACUGUUAAUUCUGUUUACUUUCAACGCUAAAGUAAAUAAUAGAUCAAUCUUUCCGAAUGUUGAAUGCAAUAGUUUAUAUUUUGUUCCUUUCGCGCGCAUGAGUGUAAGGGUGUCUGUGUGUGUGUAUGUUCUAAAUGCAUUAUGCACUUCCUUUUCUAUGUAAAUGUACAUGUGUGUGUGUAAGACAGAGAGUGCGUUUACAAGUGUCUAUAUAUAUUGCUUCAAUGUGUUCCUCUCUAUCGCAUUACAUAUAUUUGUCACUAUAUUUGUGUCCAGUAAACCGUAAAAAUCACACUUAAAAGAUUUAUUUUUUUCUCUUGAUAUUUUCUUAAUAUAUAUAUUUCCUUUUUUUAGUAUCAAAAUUUUUCUAAUCAGCAAAAGGGAAUUUUAGAAAUUAUUUUUCCUACAAACUCAUUUAUACAAUGACGAUAUAAUAAACUCAACAGAAUUUUUUGUCCUCAAUAUUUUUGCAAUUUUUGAAGACAUUUUCUUCCCCCCCUGCCGCUUAAACAAUUCAUUGAAAUCAAUUUUUAAAAGCUGUACUUUUCGUUCUUCGAAUCAUUUAAAUCAUGUAAUAUUUCUUACCAAAGGAUAUUUUGCUUAUUAAUUUACUUUGAUCAUUAUUAUUAAUUAUCAUUAUUAUUAAUAUUAUUCCAUUAAAAAAAAUAAAUAAAAAGACCACUAAAAUCCCGAAAGGAAGUUUUGAUGCAAAAAUGCGCUAACAGAAAGAAAAAAAAUAUUGGAAAAAAAAAAUGAAAACAAAUACAUAUAUCAUAAUAUUUAUAAGUAAAAUUGAUUUCAAAAUUAUAUUUUAAAUAUUUAAACAUAAGAACUCUGUGCUGGUAACAGAGUGAGAUAUAUAUGUGUGUGUAUAUAUCUAUAUUUUAUAAGAUGUAUGUGUAUAUAUACAUAUGUAUAUAUAUAUAUGUAUAUACAUAUAUAUUUAUGCAUAUAUAUAUUAUUAGAUAACGAAUCAUAUGGUAUACACCUGGUAGAUUACCGGUAAAGCACGUUCACUUUCACAGUGUUCGUUAGGUAUUUGAUUAAUGAGAGAGAUGGAAGAUACAAGAAUGUUUAUUGAUCACUAUAAUUGUUUCAACCCAUCUAGUAUCAGUCCCUCAUGAGUGUGAUACUGGACAUCUGGUUUAGGUGUAUCUGUCGAUGUAGAUGUGUCCCCUCAAGUGAUUAUAAGAUGUAUCUCAUUAAAAUAAUGUCUGUUCCAUAAGAUUUCUUCUUGGAAUGUGUAUACAAAAGCAGCAACUUAGGGAUACAGCUUCAUUAUUAUAGAAGAUCAAUAACAGAAAUCAGAUGCAAAAAAAAAAAAAACAAGUACACAAUACAGUGAAAGAAGUGUUAGAUAUAA